AGGUAGGAAGACCCGCUGAACUUAAGCAUAUCAAUAAGCGGAGGAAAAGAAACCAACAGGGAUUGCCCUAGUAACGGCGAGUGAAGCGGCAACAGCUCAAAUUUGAAAUCUGGCCUCGGCCCGAGUUGUAAUUUGCAGAGGAAGCUUUGGGCGCGGCACCGACCGAGUCCCCUGGAACGGGGCGCCAUAGAGGGUGAGAGCCCCGUAUGGUCGGACGCCUAGCCUGUGUAAAGCUCCUUCGACGAGUCGAGUAGUUUGGGAAUGCUGCUCAAAAUGGGAGGUAAAUUUCUUCUAAAGCUAAAUACCGGCCAGAGACCGAUAGCGCACAAGUAGAGUGAUCGAAAGAUGAAAAGCACUUUGAAAAGAGGGUUAAAUAGCACGUGAAAUUGUUGAAAGGGAAGCGCUUGUGACCAGACUUGCGCCCGGCUGAUCAUCCGGUGUUCUCACCGGUGCACUCUGCCGGGCUCAGGCCAGCAUCGGUUCUCGCGGGGGGACAAAGGCCCUGGGAACGUAGCUCCUCCGGGAGUGUUAUAGCCCAGGGUGCAAUGCCCUCGCGGGGACCGAGGUUCGCGCAUCUGCAAGGAUGCUGGCGUAAUGGUCACCAGCGACCCGUCUUGAAACACGGACCAAGGAGUCAAGGUUUUGCGCGAGUGUUUGGGUGUAAAACCCGCACGCGUAAUGAAAGUGAACGUAGGUGAGAGCUUCGGCGCAUCAUCGACCGAUCCUGAUGUUUUCGGAUGGAUUUGAGUAGGAGCGUUAAGCCUUGGACCCGAAAGAUGGUGAACUAUGCUUGGAUAGGGUGAAGCCAGAGGAAACUCUGGUGGAGGCUCGCAGCGGUUCUGACGUGCAAAUCGAUCGUCAAAUCUGAGCAUGGGGGCGAAAGACUAAUCGAACCAUCUAGUAGCUGGUUACCGCCGAAGU
rnacentral:rRNA from 1 species